UACCCGCUGAAUUUAAGCAUAUCAAUAAGCGGAGGAAAAGAAACCAACAGGGAUUGCCCCAGUAACGGCGAGUGAAGCGGCAAGAGCUCAAAUUUGAAAGCUGGCUCCUUCGGGGUCCGCAUUGUAAUUUGUAGAGGAUGCUUCGGGAGCGGUCCCCAUCUAAGUGCCCUGGAACGGGACGUCAUAGAGGGUGAGAAUCCCGUAUGGGAUGGGGUGUCCGCGCCCGUGUGAAGCUCCUUCGACGAGUCGAGUUGUUUGGGAAUGCAGCUCUAAAUGGGUGGUAAAUUUCAUCUAAAGCUAAAUAUUGGCCGGAGACCGAUAGCGCACAAGUAGAGUGAUCGAAAGAUGAAAAGCACUUUGAAAAGAGAGUUAAAAAGCACGUGAAAUUGUUGAAAGGGAAGCGCUUGCGACCAGACUCGCUCGCGGGGUUCAGCCGGCAUUCGUGCCGGUGUACUUCCCCGCGGGCGGGCCAGCGUCGGUUUGGGCGGUCGGUCAAAGGCCCUCGGAAGGUAACGCCCCUAGGGGCGUCUUAUAGCCGAGGGUGCAAUGCGACCUGCCUAGACCGAGGAACGCGCUUCGGCUCGGACGCUGGCAUAAUGGUCGUAAACGACCCGUCUUGAAACACGGACCAAGG
rnacentral:rRNA from 1 species